CAUCGGCAGUUUUCGCCGAGUCCGGAGCAAGGCCCGUCCCCCGCCUAUACCGGACAAGCGGCAGCCUAUCCCCCUCUCCGGGCUGCCGCGCCGUUUGAAGCGCCGCCGUGGUUUCCCCUCCGCCACGGCGGCAUUUU
rnacentral:sRNA from 1 species